rnacentral:rRNA from 1 species
CUGGACCGACCCUUCGGGGAGCUUGUACAGGUGCUGCAUGGCUGUCGUCAGCUCGUGUCGUGAGAUGUUCGGUUAAGUCCGCUAACGAGCGCAACCCUCGCUGUGUGUUACAAGUGUCACACGGAACUGCCGGUCAUAAACCGGAGGAAGGUGGGAUGACGUCAAGUCAGCAUGGCCUUUAUAUCCUGGGCUACACACACGCUACAAUGGGAAGGGACAAUAGGUUGCGAAGCCGCGAGGCGGAGCCAAUCCAGCAAAACUUCCCUCAGUUCAGAUUGCAGGCUGCAACCCGCCUGCAUGAAGUUGGAGUUGCUAGUAAACGCAGGUCAGCCAUACUGCGUUGAAUACGUUCCCGGGCCUU